rnacentral:rRNA from 1 species
UACGGAGGAUCCAAGCGUUAUCCGGAAUCAUUGGGUUUAAAGGGUCCGUAGGCGGUUUUGUAAGUCAGUGGUGAAAGCCCAUCGCUCGACGGUGGAACGGCCAUUGAUACUGCAAGACUUGAAUUAUUGGGAAGUAACUAGAAUAUGUAGUGUAGCGGUGAAAUGCUUAGAGAUUACAUGGAAUACCAAUUGCGAAGGCAGGUUACUACCA